rnacentral:ncRNA from 2 species
UAUGGUUGCGGCAACGCAAGGUUCCGCCAACCGCAGGGUUGUCGGCUAAGAGGGAAUCCGGUGCAAAUCCGGAACUGUCCCGCAGCGGUAAGUGAGAACGACCGCCGUCAUCAGCACUGGGUGAUCCCCGGGAAGCGACGGCCAGUAGGUGGCUCAGGAGUCCGAAGACCUGCCUGCGUGGCCCCGCAUCC